UACGAAGGGUGCAAACGUUGCUCGGAAUUAUUGGGCGUAAAGCGCACGUAGGCGGCUUAGCAAGUUGGAUGUGAAAGCCCUCGGCUUAACCAAGGAAGUGCAUCCAAAACUGCUAAGCUUGAGUAGUUAAGAGGAUCGCGGAAUUCCCGGUGUAGAGGUGAAAUUCGUAGAUAUCGGGAGGAACACCAGUGGCGAAGGCGGCGAUCUGGGAACAUACUGACGCUGAGGUGCGAAAGCGUGGGGAGCAAACAGG
rnacentral:rRNA from 1 species